UUUGCAAACUGGAGGGAAGCAGCUGGUCUCAGUAUCCCUCGGAAAUGGACUGCAGCAGGAAACCUCAGAAGCAGCAAGCUGGAGCAGAGCUUGCUGCCCUGGAGAUGCACCACCUCUACAGCAAGCAGUCAUCACAACCUUCUUCCAGGUUACAGCUUGGCUUCAUCUCUGAGGAACUAAGAUUGUACAGAGUCCAAGAAACUGCUGGACUGCAGCUCCUUUGGUAUCACUAGGAAAAAAACAGUUCAAGAUGGGCA